rnacentral:rRNA from 1 species
UACGUAGGGCGCAAGCGUUGUCCGGAAUUAUUGGGCGUAAAGAGCUCGUAGGUGGUUUGUCGCGUUGUUCGUGAAAACCGGGGGCUUAACUCUCGGCGUGCGGGCGAUACGGGCAGACUGGAGUACUGCAGGGGAGACUGGAAUUCCUGGUGUAGCGGUGGAAUGCGCAGAUAUCAGGAGGAACACCGGUGGCGAAGGCGGGUCUCUGGGCAGUAACUGACGCUGAGGAGCGAAAGCGUGGGGAGCGAACAGG